rnacentral:lncRNA from 1 species
CUCUGUGGACCCGACUGGCCUUGAACUCAGAGAUCCACUUGCCUCUACUUCCCAAGGGCUGGGAUUAAAGGCGUGCACCACCACCACCGUCCAGUCACAGGCAGCUGUUUUAAAACUUUAAGAUUUAUUGGUGCAACAUCUGUUGAAAACGCACCGUGGGUCCUUAAAACUAAACGAAGAAAAACAAAAACAAAAAUAAAAGAGUCCACCUGGCCCAGUAACCUGCGUACUCACCCUGAGAUCUGAAAGUUGCCUGAAGCCAACGGCACCCACCCCUCCCAUUCUGGAAGUACUUUUAAGAUAGCCAGAAGGGAGAAGCAGGCCAAGUGGCCAACAUGGGUGGACGCAGAUCAAACACAGCCUAGUCGUCACAUGGCGGAUGCUUCUCAGCGGACCAUAACACAGGACGCACAGAGCAUCCUUUCUCACGUCAGUAAUUUUGGCACUCAGGAGGAGGAGGAGGAGGCAGGAGGAUCAGGAAUUCAAAUUUAUCCCUGUCUAACAGAUUUUGAGGACACCCUGGGCUAUGCAAGACCCCGUCUCAUCUGGGUACUGUGUCAUAGGCCUUUAAUCCCAGCACUUGGGAGGCAAAGGCGGUAGAUCUCUAAGUUUGAGGCCAGCCUGGUCUACAGAGAGAGUUUGGGGAGAGCUGGGGCUACACAGAGAAACCCUGUUUUGAA